UAGGGAAUCUUCGGCAAUGGACGGAAGUCUGACCGAGCAACGCCGCGUGAGUGAAGAAGGUUUUCGGAUCGUAAAGCUCUGUUGUUAGAGAAGAACGUUGGUAGGAGUGGAAAAUCUACCAAGUGACGGUAACUAACCAGAAAGGGACGGCUAACUACGUGCCAGCAGCCGCGGUAAUACGUAGGUCCCGAGCGUUGUCCGGAUUUAUUGGGCGUAAAGCGAGCGCAGGCGGUUCUUUAAGUCUGAAGUUAAAGGCAGUGGCUUAACCAUUGUACGCUUUGGAAACGGGAGGACUUGAGUGCAGAAGGGGAGAGUGGAAGUCCAUGUGUAGCGGUGAAAUGCGUAGAUAUAUGGAGGAACACCGGUGGCGAAAGCGGCUCUCUGGUCUGUAACUGACGCUGAGGCUCGAAAGCGUGGGGAGCAAACAGG
rnacentral:rRNA from 1 species